AGCCAGUAAACCUAAGCAAGGAAAUGCGGUCCAAAAGAGAAACCGAAACUUAACGGCCAUUUUAAAAACGGAAGAGAAAGAAUCCCUAGAAAAGAAGGAAUUAAAAUAAAUGUAAAAAAACGGAGUGAACAGCCUGUUGUGGAGUGGAACUGAGGUAAGACAAGCUGAAGGUAAAGGGGAGCGGGGAGGAAUAGGAAUCUUCAGGUCCGCCAAUUUGGGUCAGAACCCACUUGUGAAUCUGAUCUGGUGUGUUCAGGUGUCCUGAGACAGGGGGCGCUGUUUCUAAAAUGAGUUCCUCAGAGGAGACCAAGACUGACGAUGGAACCCACGGCCCUGCGAGAAAGAGGGUCCGGGUAGAGAGGGCAGGGUCACCUGUACCCAGCUGUCUGUCUAUGAAGAGUGA